rnacentral:rRNA from 1 species
UACGUAGGGGGCGAGCGUUGCCCGGAUUCACUGGGCGUAAAGCGCGUGUAGGCGGUCUGUUAAGUCGGAUGUGAAAUCUCCGGGCUCAACCCGGAAACUGCAUCCGAUACUGGCAGACUUGAGGAUGGUAGAGGUCGGUGGAAUACCAGGUGUACCGGUGAAAUGGGCAGAUAUCUGGUGGAACACCAGUGGCGAAGGCGGCUCACUGGCCCGAUACUGACGCUGAGGCACGAAAGCGUGGGGAGCAAACAGG